GAGGGUAGAGCUUAGUGGUAGAGCGUGUGCACGAGGUCCUGGGUUCAAUCCCCAGUACCGCCA
rnacentral:tRNA from 1 species